GAUGAACGCUAGCUACAGGCUUAACACAUGCAAGUCGCGGGGCAGCAUGGGGGUUGCUUGCAAUCCCCGAUGGCGACCGGCGCACGGGUGAGUAACGCGUAUCCAACCUGCCCUUCACCACGGGAUAACCCGGCGAAAGUCGGACUAAUACCGUAUGUUGUCCAUUGACGGCAUCCGAUUUGGACGAAAGGCUUGGCGGUGAGGGAUGGGGAUGCGUCCGAUUAGCCAGACGGCGGGGUAACGGCCCACCGUGGCUACGAUCGGUAGGGGUUCUGAGAGGAAGGUCCCCCACACUGGAACUGAGACACGGUCCAGACUCCUACGGGAGGCAGCAGUGAGGAAGAUUGGUCAAUGGGCGUAAGCCUGAACCAGCCAAGUAGCGUGCAGGAUGACGGCCCUAUGGGUUGUAAACUGCUUUUAUGCGGGGAUAAAGUGGCCCACGUGUGGGCUUUUGCAGGUACCGCAUGAAUAAGGACCGGCUAACUCCGUG
rnacentral:rRNA from 1 species